AAUAAGGGCGUUUGGCGGAUGCCUUGGCACUGAGAGGCGAUGAAGGACGUGGCAGGCUGCGAUAAGCUUCGGGGAGUUGCCAGCACACUUUGAUCCGAAGAUUUCCGAAUGGGGAAACCCCAUCCAUCAGGAUGAUCGUCGACUGAAUCCAUAGGUCGACGAGGCGAACCCGGGGAACUGAAACAUCUCAGUACCCGGAGGAAAGGACAUCAAUAGAGACUCCGCUAGUAGUGGCGAGCGAACGCGGACCAGGCCAGUGAUACAGCCGUAAGAACCGGAACACUCUGGAAAGGGUGGCCAUAGCGGGUGAUAGCCCCGUACGGGUAGAAAGCGGUUGUAUCCUUGAGUAGGGCGGGACACGUGUAAUCCUGUCUGAACAUGGGGGGAUCACCCUCCAAGCCUAAGUACUCCUCAGUGACCGAUAGUGAACAAGUACCGUGAGGGAAAGGUGAAAAGCACCCCGACAAGGGGAGUGAAAUAGACCUGAAACCGAACGCCUACAAACAGUCGGAGGCCGCAAGGCUAACGGCGUACCUUUUGUAUAAUGGGUCAGCAACUAAAUAAAUUUAGCAAGCUUAAAUAUGUAGGCACUAUUAACAUUAUUUAGUUAAAUUUAUUUUACCCGAAACCAAGUGAUCUAUCUAUAAGCAGGUUGAAAAAUCUAAAAAAUUAGGAGGACCGAACCCGUGUCUGUUGCAAAAGACUGGGACGACUUGUGGAUAGGGGUGAAAGGCUAAUCAAACUUGGAGAUAGCUGGUUUUCCGCGAAAUCUAUUUAGGUAGGGCAUUAAAAUAUAACUAUUAUGGGUAGAGCACUUAUUAAACUAAGGGAUUAACAUCUACUGAAUUUUUUAAAACUCCGAAUAAUAAUAAUUUAUUUUAAUAGACAGACAAUGGGUGCUAAGGUCCAUAGUCGAAAGGGUAACAGCCCAGAUAGCAAGUUAAGGUCCCAAAAUAAAAGCUAAGUGUAAAUGAUGUAAAAGUAUGGAUACAACCAAAAGGUAAGCUUAGAAGCAGCUAUCCUUUAAAGAAAGCGUAAAAGCUCAUUGGUCUAAUGUAUUUUUGCACAAAAAAUAAAAAGGGUCUAAGCUUUUUACCGAAACUGCUAGAGUAUUUCUCGGUAGCGGAACUAAUUUGUCACAAAGAAAAAUUAUUAAAAAAUAAUUUGGAGAGACAAAUUCUGAUAAUGCUGACAUGAGUAGCUAAAAAUAAAGUAAAAACUUUAUCAUCUAAAAUCAUAUGGUUUAUACAAUAAGUUAAGCUAUUGUGUAGUAAGACGGCCCCUAAGGUAUAUUGCGAAAGGAGUAGCCGAUGGGUUAGGGUUCUAUUAAAAGUGACAAAUAGUAUAGAAGAAGCAUUAAACUUAAAUGUUGAAACAAUUAUACUAUAUCUGGAAAUAGCUUAAUUAAAGUGACCGUUCAAAAACCGACUCAGGUUGACUAAUGUAAAAGCAUGAAGAUGUUAGAAAUAAUUAUGUUGAAGGAACUCGGCAAAAUAACUUCGUAACUUUGGAAUAAGAAGUAUCCUUAAUGGAUGACACAUAAUAGGGGGUAGCGACUGUUUAACAAAAACACAGGACUCUGCUAAAUCGUAAGAUGACGUAUAGGGUCUGACACCUGCCCGGUGCUGAUAGGUGAAAAAAUAAUGUGCAAGCUUUAUUUAUAAACCCCAGUAAACGGCGGCCGUAACCAUAACGGUCCUAAGGUAGCGAAAUUCCUUGUCGGGUAAGUUCCGACCCGCACGAAAGGCGUAACGAUCUGGGCGCUGUCUCAGAGAGAGACUCGGCGAAAUAGACAUGUCUGUGAAGAUGCGGACUACCUGCACCAGGACAGAAAGACCCUAUGAAGCUUUACUGUAGCCUGAUAUUGGGUUCGGGCUCUUCUUGCGCAGAAUAGGUGGGAGGCAUUGAGAGUACCCUUGUGGGGGUACUGGAGCCAUCAGUGAGAUACCACUCUGGAAGAGCUAGAAUUCUAACUUUAAGCCGUUAUCCGGCUAAAGAACAGUUUCAGGUGGGCAGUUUGACUGGGGCGGUCGCCUCCUAAAAAGUAACGGAGGCGCGCAAAGGUUCCCUCAGACUGGACAGAAAUCAGUCGUAGAGUGUAAAGGCAGAAGGGAGCUUGACUGUAAGACCUACAAGUCGAACAGGAACGAAAGUUGGCCUUAGUGAUCCGACGGUGCCGCGUGGAAGGGCCGUCGCUCAACGGAUAAAAGUUACUCUAGGGAUAACAGGCUGAUCUCCCCCAAGAGUCCACAUCGACGGGGAGGUUUGGCACCUCGAUGUCGGCUCAUCGCAACCUGGGGCGGUAGUACGUCCCAAGGGUUGGGCUGUUCGCCCAUUAAAGCGGUACGUGAGCUGGGUUCAGAACGUCGUGAGACAGUUCGGUCCAUAUCCGGUGUAGGCGUUAGAGUAUUGAGAGGAGCUCUCCCUUGUACGAGAGGAUCGGGAGGGACACACCGCUGGUGUAUCAGUUAUCGUGCCUACGGUAAAUGCUGAGUAGCUAAGUGUGGAGUGGAUAACCGCUGAAAGCAUCUAAGCGGGAAGCCCACCUCAAGAUGAGUGCUCUCAUCGCAAUUUAGCGAGUAAGAUCACGGCAAGACUAGCCGAUUAAUAGGUGUUAAGUGUAAGUGUUGCAAGACAUUCAGCUGAGACAUACUAAUUUACU
rnacentral:rRNA from 1 species